ensembl:misc_RNA
UUGACAACACUGGAGGCUGAAGCCCUCUAUUUAUCCACAGAACAGAUACAGCAUGGGCGGCAGCAGGGCAAGCUUCCCCACACUGCCCCCACCAAUGUGCCUCAUCUUUGUCCUGGAGGGAGCACCUCUAGAGGUGAGAGGAUAGAUUGGUCUCCAUGACCCAUUCAGUCCUUGGCCUUU